rnacentral:rRNA from 1 species
GAUGAACGCUAGCGGCAGGCCUAACACAUGCAAGUCGAGGGGCAGCACAAUAAGUAGCUUGCUACUUAUGGUGGCGACCGGCGCACGGGUGCGUACCGCGUAUGCAACCUACCCAUAACAGGGGGAUAACACUGAGAAAUUGGUACUAAUACCCCAUAACAUUUUGGAAGGCAUCUUCUGAAGUUGAAAACUCCGGUGGUUAUGGAUGGGCAUGCGUUGUAUUAGCUAGUUGGUGAGGUAACGGCUCACCAAGGCGACGAUACAUAGGGGGACUGAGAGGUUAACCCCCCACACUGGUACUGAGACACGGACCAGACUCCUACGGGAGGCAGCAGUGAGGAAUAUUGGUCAAUGGACGCAAGUCUGAACCAGCCAUGCCGCGUGCAGGAAGACGGCUCUAUGAGUUGUAAACUGCUUUUGUAUGAGGGUAAACGCAGAUACGAGUAUCUGCCUGAAAGUAUCAUACGAAUAAGGAUCGGCUAACUCCG